CCAGCGUUGCAAGGGGCAAAGAAGACUGCUGCUAAAAUAAAGCCUUUGCCUUUAAAGAGCUCUCACCCAUGUUGUACAAGCCACCCCCACCCCUCCCCGCCAUCCAACCUCACUAGUCUUUCUUCAUCUGUAAGUUGUGCACAAUCUCCAACAAUAGCCUCUUUGGUGAGGUAGUAUCUUCAUCUCUGAGGGGGAAAGAUAGGCAGGUGUGUAUUUGAGCCACCCCUCCCCCAGGUGGUAACCACUGAUCAUCAUUUUUUUUUUAAACAUGUGCUGAAGCUAAAGAUAUAGACAGCAUCAGUUGCCUACAGUUACACUGCCAGUAAAUGACAAUGCCUAGCUUUUUCUUUCAGUUCUGCUGUCUUGCACGCUAUCAAACCCUGCAAAUGAACAGAGCACGUUUUUGCUUCCAUUGUGUACCCAAUGUGACCACAGACUAAUUUUUGUUAUCUAAAAACUGGCCUGGACUCCAGAGAAACCUCUGACCUUACUGGAAAUAUGAGGAAGAUACACACUGACACUUGAGUUUCCAUCUCAGUAGUUCUGCAGCCCCCUGAGCUCAGAGAGAAGGGUUGAGGGAGGUAGAGCCUGAGCCAGGAGGAACUCAUUGGUGAAGAGCAAAUCUGGGGACUUUGCCAGCAAAGGGUAGAUGAGGAGUGCUGUCACUUCACCUGUGAUGUAGUGGUUGCUUUUUCUUCCAGAUCAGACUCGGGGAUUUCUCCUUUUUUUCUUUUCCCUACCCUGACUGAUAGCAGGGAUUAAACCCAGGGGUGUUAUGCCACUGAACUGUGUCCCUAGCCUUUUUUAUUUCUAUUUAUUUUUUGCAGUACUGUGGAUUGAAUCCAGGGGUGAUCUGCCACUGAGCUUACAUCCCCAGACCCCACUGCCCCCC
rnacentral:lncRNA from 1 species